rnacentral:rRNA from 1 species
GACGAACGCUGGCGGCGUGCUUAACACAUGCAAGUCGAACGGAAAGGCCAUGCUUUUGCUGGGUGCUCGAGUGGCGAACGGGUGAGUAACACGUGAGUAACCUGCCCUUGACUUUGGGAUAACUUCUGGAAACUGGGGCUAAUACAGGAUAGGAGCUCCUGCUGCACGGUGUGGGUUGGAAAGUUUCGGCGGUUGGGGAUGGACUCGCGGCUUAUCCGCUUGUUGGUGGGGUAGGGGCUUACCAAGGCUUCGAAGGAUAGCCGGCAUGGGAGAGGGAACGGGCACAAUGGUACUGAGAUACGGCGCAGACGCGUACGUGAGGCAGCAGGGGGGAAUAUGACGCAAUAGGCGGAAGCCUGAUGCAGCAGCGCCGCGAGCGUAAUGACGGCCUUCUGGUGGUGAACCGAUUUCGCCUGUGACGAAGCGUGAGUGACGGUAAUGGGUAAAAAAGCACCGGCUAACUACGUG